UACGUAGGGCGCAAGCGUUAUCCGGAAUUAUUGGGCGUAAAGGGCUCGUAGGCGGUUUGUCGCGUCGGGAGUGAAAACUCAGGGCUUAACCCUGAGCCUGCUUCCGAUACGGGCAGACUAGAGGUAUGCAGGGGAGAACGGAAUUCCUGGUGUAGCGGUGAAAUGCGCAGAUAUCAGGAGGAACACCAGUGGCGAAGGCGGCUCUCUGGACAGGUACUGACGCUGAGACGCGAAAGCGUGGGUAGCAAACAGG
rnacentral:rRNA from 1 species